rnacentral:rRNA from 1 species
CGUAAGAGCUCGUAGGCGGCUUGUCACGUCGGGUGUGAAAAAACGGGGCUUAACCCCGGGUCUGCAUCCGAUACGGGCAGGCUAGAGUGUGGUAGGGGAGAUCGGAAUUCCUGGUGUAGCGGUGAAAUGCGCAGAUAUCAGGAGGAACACCGGUGGCGAAGGCGGAUCUCUGGAUCAUUACUGACGCUGAGGAGCGAAAG